UUGAUUCUUUGUGGUAUCUUUGCUCUACUCACAGAAUACGCAAAUACUGAAAUAAUUUCAAAGCAGGGUGAUGGCUGCUUUUGGAAGACUUGACAAAAAAUACAGAAAAUGAAUCAUAACAUGGGUUCCUAACAAUAGAUAUUUUUGGUAGGAUACUGCGGCAGCUUCCUGUCACACCAAAAUGCUUAGUAGAGUAUUCAUGAUGAUUCAAAAAUAAAUUUCCUUUGUAAAAAUAAAAUUGAGGUUUCACAGGCCGACUGCCUUCAUGCUGUAAAAGGGCAUAACUAUGCUGUUGGUUCCAGCAGGUUAUUAUGAGCUGCCUUGAAAAACAGUUGUUUCCACUUGAAAGAGCUGCGUAUGGCGUGGCAUUUGGAACCUAGCUGGACGUUAACCUCCACCGGUUCCACCAGUCAGCGGGUGCCCAUCGCUGUAGCGGUGACAUGAACAACACCUGUGACAGGGGGGACGGCUGCAGUCGGGUCGCAGUUCAUCCCUUCACCAAAGCGAACACUAGUGCUGGCCUCUUCCCACCACCACGCGCUCCAGGAUAGUGAGCUCCGCAGGGAGCCGGAACCUCUGCCCGCAGGGCUUGCAGAAACCAGGCUGCCAGGUGCCUUGGCAGCCCACCUGCCGCUCUAUGCCACUUUGGCUGCACCCAGAGUCACCUCUGACUCACGGGAGCCUUCACAUGUCCUAGAGCUUGUUCCACUUCAUCACACGCCGAGGAUGGCACUUGUCAUCAUGCGUGGUCGCGCGGCACUAGAGAAGCGGAGGCCGGCGCAGAGCAGCUCCCCUGGCUGCAGGAGAAAGCUCUCAUCCAAGAAGUAGCCCCUCAAGAGACGCUCUGUGUGGAAGGGGUGCAGGAUUGGAAGAGCGCGGGGUGAAAGCCGCUUGCAUUGGGGUGGAGGCAGCCGGGCAGCUCGCAGCCGCGCCGGGGAAGGAGACCCCGGAACAGGGGUGCCUGCGAAGAAUCUCUACUGCAGAACCGCCACCAUUCUCCUGAACCGUUUCUCCUCCUUUACCCUUAGUUUUAUUUAUUCACCACCAUCUUUCUUUUCCCAAGUCUCUUUUAGUACUAGGUAUGUUGGGAUAAAAAUGUAGACUGAAACUUGCAGUGAAUUUCGAUGUCAGUCCUCUGAGCGACUCUAGCAAUACCUGAUUCACUGCCUACGUAAACAAAGAGGGAUGAGCGUGCGUGCGUGCGUGCCUGUGUGUGUGUGUGUGUGUGUGUGUGUGUGUGUGUGUGUGUGUUUAGGAAGGAGGGACUCAAGAAAGGACUUUGCAAAGCCAUAACUCAGCUGGAACACAUGUGCAAAUACUUACAGAAGGGGACCGAGCACCAAUAAGCAGAAAUUCCAAGAACACACCAGGGGGAGGAGGCUGUCUUGGAAUCAUGACUUUGCUACUAGCUGGUCAAUUUGGUCCUGUGCUUUAAUCUCUUAACAGAGUUGGAAUUCAGUUUCCUAUGUUAAAUAGCAUGACCCUCCACACCCAAAUACUCAGAGCAGCUCUCAGGCUUAUUCCACAGGGCCACUUGGCGUCCUUGUUCAAAGCCAUGGGUGUCCAGGUGAUUGUAGACUGACCCUGGGAGCUGGAGUGCGGGCGGAAGUGAUCUGUGCUGUAUCCAGGUGAACGCCUGCAAUCCACACUGUGCAUGCCUUCUGUAGAUCGGCACAGCUACAUAAAACAUCUUAAUUCUUUUCUUUUUAACUACUUUCUCUUCUAUACCGCUCCCCCCCCCACAUCCAUCUCUUGGUCUCUUUCCAUUUGAAAAAGAUCUGUCUCCCCAUUUUCUAUUAUCUCUGUUUUAUUUUGCUCUUUAUUUAUACUUUGAGUUUCUCUUAUAGGAGAAAGCAUGUGAUAUUAAAUACUGUGGACCUGAUUUACAUCCUGUAACACUAUGGUUUCAAGAUGCACUCACUUGCCAACAAAUGACUUAUCUUUCUUUACGACCCAGUAGUACUCCAUUACACCACGUUUCUUUUUAUCCAGUCAUCUGCUGAUGGAUACACAGGCUGCUUCCGAGAAACAUGAGGACCUGUCAUUCAUACUCCACAAUCAAUUGCUCCUUUUCCUCUGAACUGAGAGCUGUGUACCCCAGAUUAUAUUAGCUAUGAAGAGAAAACAAUGCCAAUAAAUGCAUUUGUCUGAUGAGUUUAAAA